CUGCAACAGCAUGGAAACUAGAUCAAACAUUAGAGCAAAGCAAACAGUUACAUACCGUUUGGAAGCAGGUGAAUAAUUAACUAAAGGUGAUGAUGUCUUUAUAGGUGAUGCCCAGAGACAGUCUGUCAGACACUGACAGAGUGAGGUUUUGCAGCUUUAGCAGUUUUGUUGAGAUCCCUACUCAAAUAUCUGAGAUUCAUAUCAGGAUGGGGAACUUGCACUGUCCACCUGCAGACGCAUCCCAGCUGGCCUCCUUUGCUCGAGGCAUCUGCUCAUUUCCAAGCUACAACCCCAGUCCUCUUUUCAGCCAAAUGCUGUCCAUCAACUCUUCCUUUUACCUGAAGAACCACUACAAAGCAGUGCAGACUUCCCUGACCCCCGAGCAACUGGAGGACUUCACCAGGAGCCUGAGGACAACGUUUGGUAGGGAAGGCAAGGUUACUCUAGGUGGUGUUGGAGUAGUGGCUUUGUCUCUGGCCGUGUUGUUUGACACUCUUGCCAAGCAGGUCAGGGGAGAACCAGUGGCAGAGUCGGGGCCCAUUUCUGGUUUGUUUCUCAAGGAUCUCAGUGGAUACUACCCACCACAAGUUUACACGAUCAGCAGAUACUUGAGACUGGUACCCCACAUUGCUAACAACCCCUCCAGGAUGAGAGAGGUGACAGAAAGGUGCAUUCUUCAGUUGAAAGCUGAUCUCCAAGCUAUUAAAAAACUGGGUGAAUAUCACACAUUACCAUUAGAGGAGGACGUCACUUUACUGAACAUGCACUUGUCACAAUUUUUUGAGACCUUCUUGGAGAUUCAUCUCCUCCGUAUCAAAAAUGGCACUGCUGAAGACUUUCCGUCUGGAGAUGUCACAAUCCAAGGGAGCCCCAUCUUCAAUCUCAACUGUGACCCAGAGGUGGCUGACAAAGAUUUUUUGGCUGCAAUUGAAAAAUCUGACAACCGCACCCAAGAAGCUUUUCAAAAAUGCAAGCCAGAGAAUGGAACUUUAUCAACGUCAUUGCUUCAAUAUGUUGCCAAUUUGGAAUGGGAAGAUACAAAAUCCCAUGUUAUUUUUACAUUCUCAAAGACUAAAGAGGAUGAAAUAAUAGCUCAAAAAGAUGAUUUUGAUCUAAAGACCAAUGCUUUGGGAAAAUGGGAAGAACAGCUUACGGGCCAAGUAACUUAUUGGCACACACAUUUAUUAAUCUCCUAGGACCUGGCGUCCACAUAUGUGGACAUCACAUUUUUGGUUGUCUAGACCAAAAUACUAAAUUUUGCUCUUCUUCUCUUGCUCUCGGUGAAGGCGGUCGCACUUUUUUCCUCCUCCUCCUCCUCCUCCUCUCCGUUAGCUUCCCUGCUUAGCCUCUUAUGUCCUUGUCUAGUCUCGUGUUUUUUGUAUUACUUUUCCCUGGAACACUCUCUCACAGUCUGUUCUCUAAAACCUAAAAGAGGAAUUAUGGAUUUGAUCAACUGGUCCCUGAAUGCAAUUGACACCCUUUCCUCAACGAGAAGUCUGGGCUCGGGUGAGCCUGAGUGCUGAAGAUAUCUACCUAUUCGGAACCAUGAUAACAGGGUUCUUGCCGAUCGGAGCUGGCUUGGCCCUGGCUUAUCGAAGAAUUAAGGAAGCGGAACCGGCUGUUCAAACCCCCACAAGGCUGCCCGCUGGGAUUGAAACGAUGGGACGAGGCGUGAGUUUCUCAAAUGGGCUCAUUGAGUGCAGCACGGAUAAGAUCUUGGAGAACCGCACGGCUGCCGUGAAUACUCAAAACAAGAUCUCUGAGUGCAAACUGAUUACAUCUGGAGGGGCUCGCUCGGAAUAACACCUCUGAGUGCAAAUUGGAUCACAUCUUGGGAAGCGCACUGCGGUCGUGAGUUCUCAGAAUUGGCUCUUUGAGCACAAGAAUGACAACAUCACGGAGCGUAAGUUUGUUAACAUCAUGGAGAAGCUCACGGCUCUCCAACGGGAGAUUGAGAGACCAGUGUCGGACUGUUAGAACAGCUUUGAAAUUCAUAUGAGUUGUUCGCACUAAAGUAAAAACCACCAUCACUUCACAAGGAGACACCUUCGGCACCAGCUGUGGUCUCAAGGCUGGAGCUGAACAACAACACCCUGAUAAUAGACUGUGUUGAGUCUGUUCUUCCCACUCUAUGCAAGGCCACCUGGGUUGGCUGGAAGACUGUUUACUUAGGCUGGCAGGGUGAAGGACACUGUCUCAGCUGAACUCUGGACACACACACACGCACACAGACAUAUAUAUACAUGCAGAUAUACACUCAUCCCCCCUCCAAAAGCCUUCGACGCUUAUUCCCUUCCGAUGCUGACGGUGGAUCAUGGAGACCAGCGCAUAGGCUGCAGGCCCGGAUGUAAUGUCUAAAUUGGCUGUCUCUCACCCUUUACCCAUCCCUGUUGCUUGUCAUGUGUUUCUUUGGUGUAUUAAGAGUUUUUUCAUGUGCUAUGUGCAGAGGUGUUUUUUUCUGUUCUCAAACUGAUCUCCCUGUUGGAGCUCAGUCUGGGGGGAGUUAUUUUUUUUCUCCUUAUCUUUCCUCAUGUUGUGCUUUUCCAUGUUAUACCUCUCUGACCUGUCUUCCCCAUGUGAUGUUUGUGUAAUGUAUGUAUGGUCGGAGGGUAAGAUGGUGCCGCCAUUGCGUGCAAUAGGUCGGCAGCCUUAACAUGAAAUUUCCCCUUGUGGGACUAAUAAAGGUAUAUCAUAUCAUAUCAUACAAGGGCCUGAUAUCCACUAACAAGGAUAUUAUACUGCCUCUGUUUUAUCAAAAUUUAAAACGAAUGUCCUCAUAUGUGGCUCUCAUUUUUCUGAGAAACAAAAAUCAGGUUAAAAAAAUAAUAAAUCUGGUGAUUCUUUGUUUUUAUAUUCAUCGGGUCCCAAUAUGCCCAAAUAUCAAAGAGAAAUCAAAAAUGCAUGCCAUGGAAGAGUUCGGGUCUUAGAAGGUUAAAGAAAGAUGGUCCCUCGUUUAUGGCGGUAGUUACGUUCUAAAAGUUACCGGCGAUACGUGAAAUCUGCGAAGUAGCUAACUUUCUUUUUUACAAUUAUUAUAGAUAUUUUAUGGCUGUAAAACCCCUCACUACACACUUUAUACACUUUUCUCGAACAGGCAUGAACUUUUUCACACUUUUCUCUCUUGUUUAAACACUCUAAAGGUUCAAACAUUUGUAGAAAAAUAAGUCCAGUAUUACAGAAUGAGGCACCCGCAGAUGCCUUUGACGGUGCAAAAUGUUUCAUCGACAUUUUUGUGUUUGUUGGAGAAAACUUACAAACAUACAGUACAGCACUUGAGAGUCACACUGCUAGCGAUAGAAGAUUUCGAUAAAUUACAAGCUGAACUGUACUGUACACGGCACGAGAUUGAUUGACAAUGGUCUACAGCCAAUCAGAACGCAUAACACAAUGCGCUGUAAAAACAACAACAACAACAACAACAACAAAAAAAAAAACAAGCAUGCAAAAUUGCACAAAAAAAAUCAGCAAAACAGCAAGACCGCAAAAGGUGAACCGUGUUAUAGCGAGGGACCACUGUACUCAAAUAUAGCCCUCUAAAGACAGAAAAAAGAAAUCAUUCAGGUUAAUUUUUUUUAUAUAGUGCCAAAUCACAACAUUCAAAUCAAGUGAUACAUUCACUAUAAACAUGCAAGCAUUUUUAACAAAUACACCAGAAUGAAAUCCAUGAUCAGUCAUAAAGUUUUGAUACUGACUUUUUUUUUCCUUGCAUGUUUUUUUCUGCUUAUUUGUCUUUGAUACCAAUGUGUUUUAAACAGUGGUUACUUUAUUAGUUUCCUAAACUUAUACAACAAUGCAAUCCCAGCUUGUAUCACUGCUGCUACUUAGUUUAAUUGAACUACCAUUAUAAUGUGGUCUGUGUAUGUCAUUUGUGUUAUAUUGUCACAACCUGGCUCACAAGGCCAUGACAAAGGGCGGAUGCACUGUUCAGCAGUAAGAAAGUACUUUAUUAGCAUCAAAGCUGUUGAUGUGCAAAAAUCAGUAAGAUCACUGUUGUAGCGUGUGUAUGAGAAUGAAGAUUUGUGUGGCCACUGUAAAUGUAAAAAAAACAGAAAACCUUUGCAGUCUGGGAACAGACAGCCCGGGUGUUGCCACUUGAAAAGCUGGUCGGCUUGAUAUACAUAUGUACACUGUGUGUCAAAACAUUAAAUGGGUGUUUAAAUGUAAAUACUGAUCUGAAGUUUUCAAAUUACUGGAAUUUAUUUUGUACAUGUCAUUUAAAUGAAAUUUAUGUUGCUUAACUAAUUAUACUGGUAAAAGUCAAGGAUUUCUUUUUCCAGCUGAGACAGCGUAACAUAAAGUAGAAAGUUCGAUACAUUACACACACACACACACACACACACACACACACACACACACACACACACACACACACACACACACACACACACACACACACAGCACUUUUCUACUCUACCUGAGCACUCAAAGCAUUUUAUACAGAAGGAUUCAUUCACUUUUUUUUCUAUGCUUAAGCUUUCUGUCUAAUUUUUAUACUCUAAUGGAUGCAUCAGACUUGGGGUUAGUAUGUUGUCCAAGGAUAUUUGGCAUGCAGACAGGAGCAGUCAGGGGUUAAACUACCAGACUUCCGAUUAGUGCUUGACCUGCACUACCUCCUGAGCUACAGCUGCUCCAAGCUUACAGCACCUGGUAUUCUCAGCUGGUAUGGCUGUAAGUAAUGUCACCCUGAGGCCUAAGUGUGAGGCGUCCCUGGUGUGGGACAAAUGCAAUGCAAUCAUGAAGAUGCUGAAAUGGUUGCUGUGUGGUUUGGAUUGAUUGGCUAGGCCUUUUUCUUUAAUUAAACAAGAGACCACACCACUGUAUAUAAGGACUACAUAGUGCUCCGUGGAAGCCUAUGAAUGGAAUAGGCUGCAUAUGACAUCCAAAGGUACAUUCAGUUCGAUCAAAUGUUAUUUAUAUAGUGCCAAAUCACAGCAGUCUCCUCCUCAUUUCGAAUGCUGGACUUAUUAGUUGAACAAAGAGAAGCAAGAGCCUGACUGAUUUUAGGACAUAGUUCAGGAGGAGCUAUAAUCUUGCUCUCAGUUUUGUUGAUGCUUAUUUUUUUUUGAAAUUCUUCAUUUAUUGGACAAUGGGGAUAUUGCAUAUUCAUAAACCAGUUUUACAAGGUACUUCUUCUUCUUUUUCCCCCCAUGUCCUUAUUUUUAUUUUCAUUUUAAAUUUUUACAAACAAUUCAGAACUAUUUGACAGGAACAAGGGAUGUGGAAGUUAUAGUUAGCAAUAUACUAUAGAAGCAUUUGCCACACCUCAAUUAGUACCAAAAAAUUUAAAUAGUUACACUAACAUAAUAAUAAUUCACACACUGGUGGAGGCUACAGUUGUAGCCACAGCUGCCCUGGGGCAGACUGACAGAAGCAAGGCUGCCAUAUCGCACCAUCCGCCCCUCUGGCCAUCACCAGUAGGCGGUAGGUGAAGCGUCUUGCCCAAGGGCACAACGACCAGGACAGAGAGCCCAGGGAUCGAACCAGCAACCUUCCGGUUACAGAUGCGCUUCCCAGCCCCCUGAGCCACGGUCGCCCAGUGUUUGUGUCCUUUGUCAAACUAUGGACUGACACAAACUUCUGUAAUCGGUGUGAGUGUGCGAUUCUUUCCAUUAGAUAUUUACCAUCAACAACCUCUGUCCAUUCUUCUUUUGUGUUGCGGGAUCUGGUUGAAACUAGUGUCUGGCAGAAUCUUUCCUCCCAGCUGAUAUCAGGAAACCAAACAGAUACUUCUUGAAAUAUACAUUUCUAUUUAAAUGAAAAUCAGUGUUUCCCAACACAAAGAUAUUGAACUGGAAGGGUAUGUUAACGUUUAGAACCUUUUUGGAAAAUGGUAGCUGCUAACAAGAGGGCCUCUUAUUAAAAUUUUCAGCUGAUCAAACUUUGUUCAAAGAUGCAUGACAACAGACGAAAUCACAAGGAAUUAAAGACCUCAUAGAGCAGCUGAGGAGGCUUCUAGUAAUAAGCUGUGGGAAUUAUAUCAUUUUUAUAUCAUGUUUAUUCUUUUAUAUCCUUUUUAUUAAGCUUUGAGCAGUGGCAGUUGAUGAAAAGAUUUAUUCCAUUUAUUAAACAUACAGUUUUAAUCAUGUCAUUACACACAUUGCAUAUGUGCUCAUGAGAGAGUUAAGCACUCACUCUUGUGAAGGUCAUAAGCUUCGUUCAGCAUGAUGUCUGAACUGAUAUAUUGUGGGAAUGACUUGGAGUGCUGUGAAUGAAUGCACAAAUGCUUACAUACACACAGACAUUAAGUAAAAUUUCUAGGGUAAAGGUGAAACACAUCUUGCUUUGUCUCUGCUUAGCAACUAGAGAUGCAGAAGGUGUUAAAGAUAAGCAUGCCAUGAAUAAGUCUACAGGAAACAUCUGGAGAAGUCAUAGGGCAGAAUGUUGUUGAACACGGAAACUUGUUUAACUGUCAUUAAUUGUAACUAUGCAUGUGAUAUUCUUUCUGACGCGAGAAGGGGCGUGAACCCUGACAUAAUAAAACCAUUUUGAAUUUAUGCUGUGACGAAGAUCUGUGUUGACAAUAUUGAGCUGUGUAUCUUCCCACACAUGUUUAAUAAAAUCAUUGUUUUGACGCACUUGGACCAGUGGUCGUUUGUCUCACACCUCAAUCACGAAUCGGGACAAAGCCCAAUAACAACAGUGAGACAGAGGCUCUCACAAAUGACAGUGAAGCUAUUGUCAAACUGGAUGAGGUGAUGGUUGCCCUGCAGGACCAAAUCAGCCACCCUACCACAGAGCAGUGUGUGGAGUCUGCCACUCCAACCACAGAGGCUUCACACACAGACUCUGUAGGACUGAUGUCCUCUAAGGAGGCUGAAUUUGAGGUCCAAUGUAGGAAUCAACAAGAGCAGAUUGAGAUGCUCCAGAAACAGCUCCUAGCAGCUCAAAAUCAGCUCGAAGAGCAGGCUGUUAAAAAUAGGCAGGAGCAGGAGACACUCAACCUGGAAAUCAGUGACCUGAAAUCCCAGCUCUGCUCCAACAAG
ensembl:lncRNA